rnacentral:rRNA from 1 species
AGCGAACGCUGGCGGCAGGCUUAACACAUGCCAGUCGAACGGGCUUCUUCGGAAGUCAGUGGCAGACGGGUGAGUAACACGUGGGAACGUGCCCUUCGGUUCGGAAUAACUCAGGGAAACUUGAGCUAAUACCGGAUACGCCCUUUUGGGGAAAGGUUGACUGCCGAAGGAUCGGCCCGCGUCUGAUUAGCUUGUUGGUGGGGUAACGGCCUACCAAGGCGACGAUCAGUAGCUGGUCUGAGAGGAUGAUCAGCCACACUGGGACUGAGACACGGCCCAGACUCCUACGGGAGGCAGCAGUGGGGAAUAUUGGACAAUGGGCGCAAGCCUGAUCCAGCCAUGCCGCGUGAGUGAUGAAGGCCUUAGGGUUGUAAAGCUCUUUUGUCCGGGACGAUAAUGACGGUACCGGAAGAAUAAGCCCCGGCUAACUUCGUG